GCUGGGCAUGGUGGUGUGCGCCUGUAAUCCCAGCUACUUGGGAGGCUGAGGUGGGAGGCUGGCUUGAGCCCAGGAGGCAAAGGUUGCAGUGAGUGAAGAUCUUGCCACUGCACUCCAGCCUGUGCAACAGAGCCAGACCCUGUCUCAA
rnacentral:SRP_RNA from 1 species